rnacentral:rRNA from 1 species
UAGGGAAUCUUCCGCAAUGGACGCAAGUCUGACGGAGCAACGCCGCGUGAGUGAAGAAGGAUUUCGGUUCGUAAAACUCUGUUGUUAGAGAAGAACAGCGCAUAGAGUAACUGUUAUGCGUGUGACGGUAUCUAACCAGAAAGCCACGGCUAACUACGUGCCAGCAGCCGCGGUAAUACGUAGGUGGCAAGCGUUGUCCGGAUUUAUUGGGCGUAAAGCGAGCGCAGGCGGUCAAUUAAGUCUGAUGUGAAAGCCCCCGGCUCAACCGGGGAGGGUCAUUGGAAACUGGUUUACUUGAGUGCAGAAGAGGAGAGUGGAAUUCCAUGUGUAGCGGUGAAAUGCGUAGAUAUAUGGAGGAACCCCAGUGGAGAAGGGGACUCUCUGGUCUGUAACUGACGCUGAGGCUCGAAAGCGUGGGUAGCAAACAGG